AACAAAGCCUCUUUUGUGUUUAGUGUUGUUCAUGUGACAGAAUUACAGCAUAUUCUGUCAAAUCUGGUAUGAAUGUUUUGUACCAUUUCCAGUGGCCCUAUCAGAAUUCCCACUGGUAAGUGUCCCUUUCUUUCUCUGUCUCCUGAGUAGAGAACACAUAAGGCCCUAGAUGAGGGCAGGGCCACAAGGCGGAAUAAUUCUGGGAACUUGAAUGACUGUGUGGAAGAGAGUUUUACUUGCUUAUCUGUAUUCGGCUAUAGUCUGAGUAAGAAACAAAUUUGUUUGUAUUUUACCAUGGAAAAUUUGACUGUAGAGCAAUUAGUUUUUCUCACUGAAACAUUAGACAGGUUUGCUUCUAGUUUGAAAUUCUGUGAUUUGUCAAAAAUCUUUAAGAGUGAGGUUAGAAAAAAAGGAAAAAGAUCCAAAAUUUGUGUCUUUGCCUCUCUAGUUAUUCUCUCUGUGGUAACUGGAGCCCUUUGAGUAAAGGGAGCAGGAGAACACAGUGGAAGUUAUGGGUCGUAACAUCCCUGGCGGGCUCACGAAAGAUACUGAAGCUUCUACCUUUAUCUCUGACACUUGCUCUGGGGGAAGCUGUUCACCACUGUCAUGAGGACACUCAAGCCCCAGUGAGAGGCCACUCACUAGGAGCUGUCAGAAGCGACUUGCUAGUCAGGUAGCCAUGUGAAUGAGUGGAUUUCACCACCUCAUCAAUCCUCACAUAAACUCAGUCCCCCUCAGUGCUUGAGUACAGCUUCACAAGAUCCCCUCACUGCUUCAGAAUUCAUCCCCACAGAAACAGUGAGACAAAAUGCAUGCUCAUUGUUGUUCAAGUUACAAAGUUUUGAAGUGAUUUACAAAAUAGCAGUAGAUAGCUGAUGUACAAGUCAUGAUGGGAGACAUUUUUACUAAAUAUUUCCACAGUAUAGCCUGGAGCUUUAUUGUCUCGUAACCUUUGAUUUUCAUUUUUUCACCUCAUCAUUUGACUGUUAAACAGAGUCACAGAUUUUAUGGUUUUGUUAUAACCACACCUAACCUCAGUAUACCAAUUUUUGUACAUAGAUAGGAUAAUGCUAGAUUGUAUGACAGGAUACAUUUUGAGAGCUUAGUGGAUUAAUACAAUAAACUUUGUUUUUUAAUGUAAAAAAUGGUGUUAAGAAAUGUAAAAAGAUAUCAAAAGUCAAAACCCUCCUAAAUGUAGGUAACCUUUUACAAUAGUCAAAGUGGACAUCCAGAGAUAGUUAAAAAUUUGAAUAUAAUGUUUAUUUUUUGGUCCCGAGUUCGAUCCCCGGCACACACACAAAAAAACUUUAAUGGUUUAGUUAAAUGACAUCCAGUCCUCAAACAAUAUGUUCAAAUUUCAGUUCUCAUAGUAUACCAACUGUGC
rnacentral:lncRNA from 1 species